AGUGGAGGGACGGGGAGGAGGCGGGCCGAGCCGGGGGGGGCGGGGCAGCGUGGCCUGGGUGGGCGGGGCGGAGGCGAGCUGGGCCGAGAGGGCGGGUCGGCCCCACCUGAGGCGCCGGAGGCGGGGCGGCCACCCUUUGCCUCGUUGCUGCCCGCUGAGAGCUCCUGACUCGCGGCCGCCCGGAUCCCGCGAGGCAUCGGUACCUCGCGAUGCUGUUCUACUUGGACAGAGCCCGCAGGGGGGACGUGAGCAGGGCGGAAAGGAAGAGACACUCGUCUGUUGUCCCGAAAACCCCUCAGUGCCUUGGCUUCGCGGGGAAAUGGUUGCCUUUGUGCAAGUGGAUCGGCCUGGCCUCUCUUCAUUUGCCUUGUCUUUUAUUUUUCCAAGGAAAAAAUAUCAGCAGAGAAAGUUCCAGACUUUCUCUUCCCAUGCAGCCUUGUUUUCUGUAUUUAGCAAAUGCCAAACAUCGACCAUGUCUGCAAAUUUCCUCUCGGGUGUAGAGAGCAAGAAGCUUGAAUUUCUGGUCUCUCUUGCAAUGGGGAGUGACAAGAUAGACAAUGUUCUGGCCAAAGAGACAAAGGAAAUGAACAAAGGUCUACUGAGAAGACUGAUGUCGCCAUGUGCAGCCAGCAGACUCCCCGAGCCUCGGGCCUCCACCUCUUCUGGGAAGGUUCUCCUCGCUCUUACCAGACCCAGCCGUAUCACCUGCCGCCCUUCCCGGUGGCUGCCGUCCGCUGGCCGUGUGGUCACCGAAGAGCUCCGCUCCUGCUGUUUCCUCCCUGCUCCACCUGCUCUCUUCCCGACGGCCCUACAGAUGGCCAUACUCCUCCGUGGCUUCUCUCUACCUCCACUUGCUCACCUCCAGCGAUCUCCGCCAACACGCUGCGAUCAGGGACCCUGCCCCCUUGUGGGAGGAAGGCUUCGAGCAACCUCACCGUCCCGGCACCUGCCCAGGCAGCUCCUCCGGGCCGUCCAGGGCUCGCGUCACAGUCUCCCUGAAACACUGCCGUCCUCAUUCUUGCUCCUGUGUGAUCACCGCCCUCGCCCUCGGCUGUCUUCUGCUCUUGCACCUGCACCUGCCCCCCCUCCCCAACCCAGCUUCCCCCAGGGGGCUGGGGGAGGGGGAGGAAGCACUCGAUCAGUGAGACUCCUUCCAUUGUAA
rnacentral:lncRNA from 1 species